rnacentral:rRNA from 1 species
UACGUAGGGUGCGAGCGUUAAUCGGAAUUACUGGGCGUAAAGCGUGCGCAGGCGGUUCGCUAAGACCGAUGUGAAAUCCCCGGGCUUAACCUGGGAACUGCAUUGGUGACUGGCGGGCUAGAGUGUGGCAGAGGGGGGUAGAAUUCCACGUGUAGCAGUGAAAUGCGUAGAGAUGUGGAGGAAUACCGAUGGCGAAGGCAGCCCCCUGGGCUAACACUGACGCUCAUGCACGAAAGCGUGGGGAGCGAACAGG